AUUGCAAUCGAUCUAUUUUGAGCAGCAAAGAUCUCGAUAUGGUGCUUAAAAUUAAAAUAGUUUUGAGUUAUUUCUUUUAUACUCUAUGAUAUUUAGGCCAGUAUAUAGAUGCUUGGCACAUUUUUUUAGUUCAACGGUUAUCUGUCAUAGGAUUGCAAAUGCCUUAAUAUUACUUAAUUCUUUUGAGAGAAACUCACCGUGACUAGCCUCUGAAAUUUGUUACUGUGUGUACUUCUCAUCCACUAUAUCAAGGAAAACUUUGCUGAAGAAAUUGUUGUCUACUUGUAGUGUUCUUAAGACCGCAAUGUUUUUGUCUUUAUCUAUCCUUCCUCUCUCAGGUUUUUGAUAGUUGGAUGAAAUAUGGGUUAAAGCAUUGUUAGUAGAAGGAAAGAAGUACAACGUCAAGCUGCAGAGAUAUCUUGAAGAAACCAGGCCGAUGAAAAAUCAAGAUUGGUCUACGGUCAAUCCACUUUUUGCAAGGGGCACUGGAGGAGGGCAAGCUGAUCAGCGUGAAUGGCAACAGCUCUCAGCCACAAUCAGCCGUAACAACAAGACACACAGGGAUCGUCGACUGGCCACUCUGCGGCAUCCAUGCUGCGCAGCGCCAGCACGCUUGGCGACAACAUUCUCCUCAUCAUCGCGCUCCGCUUCCACUCCACGAUAGCCCGCUGUCGAGCUUGUGGGGGAGGGCAGCAACGGGAGCAGGGUACAACGAGCUCGCGGAUCCUAGAACGUGUUAAAGGAGUAGAGCUUGCCCUCAGUGGGAUGGUUGGACACCGGCGUGAAGCAAAAAGGGGUGGCGCAUAUAUAUCAUUCAGGCUUAAUCCUUUUGGCGACUAUUUACCGGGAGCAAUCUGAAAGAAUGAAUGCCCGAUAAUCAUCUGACAAGCCAAUGCACCAUGUCGCUCAAUUACAGAGCUGAGGAGGACCUGUCAGGAGGUUGGGACGAUGAUGCCCUGGAGGAGGGAUGGUCUUUGGUGGCAGAGGAUGCUGGCAGGGCACAAGAUUGCAGCAGAUGAAGAUGGCGUGGCGUUCAAACCUUGGGAAUUAAAUCCUGUGACGAGCAGCGGAUGGCUAGAGGGAAUGGAGGGAGGUGUAGUGGAUCAAGGCGGAGAGAUAUGGAGAUAGGUUAAGAGAAAGAGACUAUAAGUCAUUAACGCAGAUCACGGUGGGCAUGGGCAUCAACCUUUAA